GCAUCAUGGAGACGCCCCCUAAGCGGCAGGCCAUGGGGGAGAAAGUGCUGCGCUAUGAAGCUUUCAUCUCUGAUGUGCUGCAUCGGGACCUGCAAAAGGUACUGGAUCAUCGUGACAAGGUAUAUGAGGAGCUGUCCAAAUACCUUCAACUGAGAAAUGUCAUUGAGCAUCUCCAGGAAGCUAACCGCUCAGAGUUACAUAUGCAGGUGGAUUUGGGAUGUAAUUUCUUCGUUGACACAGUUGUCUCAGACACCUCACGGAUCUAUGUGGCCAUUGGAUGUGGUUUUUUCCUGGAGUUGACACUGGCAGAAGCUCUCAAGUUUAUUGACCAUAAGAGCAAUCUCCUCACAGAGCUCAGCGACAGCCUCACCAAGGACUCGAUGAAUAUCAAAGCCCAUAUCCACAUGAUGCUAGAGGGGCUUAGAGAACUGCAAGGCCUGCAGGAUAUCCCGGAGAAGACUCAUCAUUGACUUCUUCCCCCCUCUCCAGACAUUAAGGAUCC